rnacentral:misc_RNA from 1 species
GAUGAAGAACGCAGCGAAAUGCGAUAAGUAAUGUGAAUUGCAGAAUUCAGUGAAUCAUCGAAUCUUUGAACGCACGUUGCGCCCGCCAGUAUUCUGGCGGGCAUGCCUGUCCGAGCGUCAUUUCAACCCUCGAACCCCUCCGGGGGGUCGGCGUUGGGGAUCGGCCCUUUCACCGGGUGCCGGCCCCUAAAUACAGUGGCGGUCUCGCCGCAGCCUCUCAUGCGCAGUAGUUUGCACACUCGCACCGGGAGCGCGGCGCGUCCUCGUCCGUAAAACACCCCAAACUUCUGAAAUGUUGACCUCGGAUCAGGUAGGAAUACCCGCUGAACUUAAGCAUAUCAAUAAGCGGAGGA